rnacentral:rRNA from 1 species
CCUACGGGUGGCAGCAGUGGGGAAUAUUGGACAAUGGGCGAAAGCCUGAUCCAGCCAUGCCGCGUGUGUGAAGAAGGCCUUCGGGUUGUAAAGCACUUUCAGUGGGGAAGAAAGCCUUGUGGCUAAUACCCUCGAGGAAGGACAUCACCCACAGAAGAAGCACCGGCUAACUCCGUGCCAGCAGCCGCGGUAAUACGGAGGGUGCGAGCGUUAAUCGGAAUUACUGGGCGUAAAGCGCGCGUAGGCGGUCUGAUAAGCCGGUUGUGAAAGCCCCGGGCUCAACCUGGGAACUGCAUCCGGAACUGUCAGGCUAGAGUGCAGGAGAGGAAGGUAGAAUUCCCGGUGUAGCGGUGAAAUGCGUAGAGAUCGGGAGGAAUACCAGUGGCGAAGGCGGCCUUCUGGACUGACACUGACGCUGAGGUGCGAAAGCGUGGGUAGCAAACAGGAUUAGAUACCCCUGUAGUC